AUUGAACGCUGGCGGCAGGCCUAACACAUGCAAGUCGAGCGGAGCGACGGACGGGUGGGUAAUGACUAUGAAUGUGCCUGGUAGUGGGGGGGAACGACCGGAAAGAGACGGUAAUAACUCCUACUAUCAGUUGAGACUAGGUGGGAUGAGCUAGUUGGUGGGGUAAAGGCCUACCAAGGCGACGAUCCGUAACUGGGCUGAGAGGAGGAUCAGUCACACUGGAACUGAGACACGGCCCAGACUCCUACGGGAGGCAGCAGUGGGGAAUAUUGGACAAUGGGCGAAAGCCUGAUCCAGCCAUGCCGCGUGUGUGAAGAAGGUCUUAGGGUUGUAAAGGACUUUAAGUUGGGAGGCGUUACCAACAGAAUAAGCACCGGCUAACUCCGUGCCAGCCGCCGCGGUAAUAC
rnacentral:rRNA from 1 species